rnacentral:lncRNA from 1 species
UUUUUUUUUUUUUUUUUUUUUUUCAUCCUAAUCCUGUACAUAAUCUCUUUUUCUGCUUCCUUUUAUAAGGCUAGUUCUGGACCUUCCAUCUGUACGUGUUCACAUGAUGGCUGGUAGGCAUCCAACACCACAUGGCCACAGAAUCUUCUCUUCACCUGAAAAGCUGAUAGAAAAGGGGAACUAGCAUUCACCAGCUUUUCUUUGGUAAAGCAUCACAGCCCCUGUAUCCUAACCUGACUCUCUCAAGAGCUAUAAAUACUUGCAGGCCCCAGACAGCUGUUAGUUCUAAUUUCAUAUCAGUGUCCAGUUUCUUCACUAAUGACCACUUACAUGUAAUUAAAUUUGGAAUUACAGGAUCUUAAUGUCGAAAAAAUGCAUUUUCACCCGAAAUAUUUUCUACCAUGAAUUGAAGACCAGAAUGAGGCUUCUUCUGAUACUAGAAUAAUGAUAGAAUAGAAACAGUCAUCUCUCUUAGAUGCCAAAUGUGGUCUACUUUUAUCUUAAAAUCAAAUGAUUUCCCAGUAAUUUGUAUUCUAAAAUAAUCACUUUUUUUUUUUUCUGAGUGGGAGAGAGUGGGGGGAAGAGCGGAGGGAGAGACAGAAUCUUAAGCAGGUUCUCUGCCCAGCAUGGAGCCCAAUGCAAGCUUGAUCUCACGACACUGAGAUCAUGACCUGAGUCAAAACUAAGAGUCAGAGAUCCCUGGGUGGCGCAGCGGUUUAGCGCCUGCCUUUGGCCCAGUGCGCGAUCCUGGUAGGCCUGGGAUCGAAUCCCACGUCGGGCUCCCGGUGUAUGGAGCCUGCUUCUCCCUCUGCCUAUGUCUCCGCCUCUCUCUCUGUCUCUCUCUGUGACUAUCAUAAAAAAAAAAAAAAAAAAAACAAAACUAAGAGUCACAUGCUUCACAGACUGAGCCACCCACGUGCCUCAAGAGUUACUACCAUUUUGGAUCAUCUAUUUUGUAUUAAGGCACUUCAUAUAUAUUACCUCUACUCUUCAGAUAUGCUAAAGUAGGUAUGAUGACCCUCAUUUUGUAUAUGAGAAAACUAGGACUCAGAGGUUAAAUUGCAUAGGUCACAAAACUGGUAUUUUACUCUUGAACAGUCUGUUUUGAGAGGCCAGGGCACUUUAAGAAGCAUAAAUUCAUGAAUGGAAGAAAAGAUGAAAAAAAGAAAACAAAACCAAAACAAAAUAUUGGAAAUAAUUCCAAUGUCUAAUAAUAAGAGAUUGAAUAUAUUUGGUGAACUACAGAAUGGUCAUUAUACAGCUAGUAAAAAUACACAUGAUAGAAGAACAGUUAUGAACAUGGGUAAAUGUUCCCGAUAUAUUAAGUGAAGAAAAAUCAGGCUAUAAAACAGUAGGUACAGUAUAAUUCCAAUUUUGUAAACAAAAAUGUGAAGAUAUAUUAUGCAUAGAAAAAAAUGGCAGGAAAUAUACCCAGAUAUUUUUUGGUGGAAGAAAUUCAGUUGGGUUUGAAUUUUUUCUCUUUUGAGCUCCUCUAAGUUGUCAUGUGUGGGCAUUUAGCAGGAAUUAAAAAGGGAAAAGGAGAGAAAAUGGGUGAGUUGAUUAGCGCUUGUGUGUUGGAGAAAAGGUGAGUAGGAUGAACUGUUUGACAGCUGGAAGAGGAUGUGUGUCUGACUCAGAUGGUGGCUAUGCAGGGAGCAUGACUCACACAUGAGUCAAGCUGGCCUUUUGGUUUUGGCAGGGGGCUGGGGGCGGGAGAUACUCUUGGAGGGCAGCAAGGAACGGUUCUCUACAAGUGAAUGUUUCUGGAGAUGGACUCUUUUAUUCAACUGUUGACAACCCUUCCAGGCCCAGUCUCAAUCCCAUUCUCCCUCUUGGAUCUACAGUAGAUUAUAGACUAUAAUAACAGAUAUACAUUUAAGUGUCUGUGUUUUUAAAGCCAGCCUGUUUAUUUACUCCUCUCAGCCCAGACAGAAUUUAAACUUCUAUUUGUCUGAUCUGCUGAUGAAUUUCAGCUGCUGGAGAAGGAGAAUUGCUUGUUGCUUCCAGAUGGAUGAUAAUGUCCAUGUGUCUGGGGUGAAGAUAUGGCAGCUGGAGAGUCAGUGCUUGUCCAUGUGUUUGAGGGGUAUGACUGGAUUUGGUGACAAUCUCAAGUGCAAAUUCUUUUAGUCUCUUGUGCACAGAAUCACUGCUUUCACCACUUUUUAGAUUCAUGUUUAGAAAAAUCUGGGUGACCAUUUAGGCUUGGUUGUAGAGUAAGUUUUAUCCCAAAGACAUUCUUUUUCAUGACUUAAUUUGGGGUCAUCUGAAUUAUAUGUGGUCAUUCAAAAGAAUGCAGAUCUACUGAAUUUCAUUGAUUCUAUGAAACAUAAUUGUUCAUAUUUUACCAUCUUUAAAGUCAUGUGUCUCACAAUCUCGGCCACCCCAGUGGCUGGUGGCAUGAUGGUUUAACUGACCUGUCACCCUCUUGGCCAACAAACCAGUGAAGGACCACUCAUGAAGAGGUGGGAUCUGAUAGUUCAGGUACUCAUGCCUUCUGAAAGAACGAAAAAGCUCCAGCAUAAAACCUGCAGAACAACGGCCAAUGGGCUGGAAGGUGAUGCAUGGCAUCUCCUGAUAGCACAGAGGGUGACACGGUGGGGAAAAGCAAAGACUGACAACUCAGAGGGAAAGUGAUUAAAUGAAGAGUUGGGAUUCUGAGCGUGAAGAGAGUGUAGGGCUAUCUUAACCAAUGUAUUUUGCUUUUCCUCCUUCUUAUUUUUAUAUGUACAAGAUCACAGGUGAUAAAAGUGCAUGUCAAAAUAAGUCUUUCAAUAACUAAAGAUUUAUUUCAGCAACUAAAAUAAAAAUUCUAAGUGUCAAGGAGGCAUGUGUCACCUUUCAAAUUGGCAGUGGUUUUUCAAAACAUCUUCCACGGGUUUUAAAUGCAGAUGAUAAUAAGGAGGAGAACAAUGUGAGGGGCACAGAAAUUUUACAAGAUUGAACAAAAGGACUGUGUUAAACCUCCAGAUGACACAGCUCACUUGCAGUCAGUAGGAGUGUUUUCUGGUAGCAGCAAAUGCUUUUGUAAACUCUCAAAGGAGCCCGGUCUUCAUUUGAGUUGCAUGAGUCCAGACACAUGUGGGGGAACACUGUCCAAAGGGAGUGCAAACUGCAGUAAUAAAGUCAUGAUAACUUGUCAGAGAUGAUGCGCCAAUGAAAAAUCAUUCCUAGAAGUUCUUUUAAUUAAACAUUUAGCUGUCCACUGGAGCCAUUUUUAAAUAUAAAAUGCAGCCCUGUGGCCUUUUCUCCCUGCCUCCCACCCUUCUGCAAUAGCUCUGACAAUUGAAUUCUCAUUGGUGAUAAUAAAAAAAUUCAUAAGACAGGGUACAGCUGGUUAUGCCUCUAGCAAGAUGUCAAAUUUCACUUGUGCAAAAUUAAUUGCACCUAAUUAAACUGGGGUCAUUGGCAUUAUUGUAAAGUGAGGCUAUUUAUUAGACAAAGAAAAUUUCACAAAUACCAUUUUGCUUUUAUUUUAGGUUUGUGAAAGAGAAGAACUGCUUACAUAAUUAAAUUUGUUUUGCCAUUUUUAAUCUUAUUACUCCAAAAGAUCCACUUCAAAUCCUGCUUUACACCUAAAAUUGUGUGAUAUUUUAGAAUAGCAGAGGUAAUCCUUGGAGGAAGACAUAAAAAAAUGAUAGGUUUUCUGUAGAUUACCUAAUCAUUUUCCAAACAGUAUAGAAAAUAAUUUGUAAACUACCACUUAUAAGGACAUGCAUCUUGGAAUCACUUACAUGAAGCGUUUCCUAAGCAAAUUAUUGGUACACGUGUAUGAGAUUAAUAUGAAGUUUAAAAGAUAUGUUGCAUGUUAUAAAUAGGCUGCUACAGUAUGCACCUAUUACUUCAAGAAAGACACCACUGAAAGCAAAUUUCAUUGUAUUGAAAUGGGACCACCUCUUUUCUGACCCAUGCUGGGUGUAUAGGACUACGCUGCUUCCUUCUCCAGGAAAUGAUGCAAAAAUUAUUACUGUUAGAGACAAAAGGAUGAUUUUUUUUCCUGGAAAAAUGAUACUUGUUCAACUUGGGAUUCUGUGUCAGAUUAUAUAUACAGAUUCUCAGUUCCCCAGAGGCAAAGCUCCUGUGGAUCCAAUUUCUUUAAAGCCUCUCUAGAUCACUGCUAUCUGUCCAGUUGAUACAACUCCCUGGGCCAGGUGCCUCCCCAGCCAGCAUCCUCAGCCCAAACACAAAAGAAGGUGGCAGGUAUCUAUUGUUAGGUCUCAUCUCAGCCAUUCACCAAGAAACCUACAAGAAUAAGAAAGGAAUGAGUUCUGACUUGGGGAGGUUGGAAUGGUUCAGAUGAGUAAACAGUAAUCAUUAUUCAAACCAGCUGCUCAAAAGCUCUCUGGGGAAUUUCUCUUUUUCGUAAUAUUUGCAAUGUUUAGAGAGAAGGGUAUAGCCUAUUCUAGGUUACAGCUUCCCACUGUAUACUUUAUGAAAAAGACUGUAUAUAUAUUUAUGUAUGUAAAUAAAAAUCUAUCUUAGGGUAAAGCAAGAAGAGAGGGAGGAGUCAGGUUUAUUUUGUGGUUAGUCUGAGGAAAGGAGAAUGGAGAAGCCCGCAUUGUUUUCUCCACAAUGGCAGAUCACGUUGUAAUAUCUGAGAAAUGAAAGGUUUCUCGGUGUCUAUUACUAAUGACCGUGCUCGGUCUCAUGGUCUCAUGGCAGCAAAGCCAGUUUCCAUUCCUUUAAUAACGCUGAGCUGAAUAAACUCCAAAUCCGAAAUA